rnacentral:rRNA from 1 species
AGUGAACGCUGGCGGUAGGCCUAACACAUGCAAGUCGAACGGCAGCACAGUAAGAGCUUGCUCUUACGGGUGGCGAGUGGCGGACGGGUGAGGAAUACAUCGGAAUCUACUUUUUCGUGGGGGAUAACGUAGGGAAACUUACGCUAAUACCGCAUACGACCUACGGGUGAAAGCAGGAGAUCUUCGGACCUUGCGCGAUUGAAUGAGCUGAUGUCGGAUUAGCUAGUUGGCGGGGUAAAGGCCCACCAAGGCGACGAUCCGUAGCUGGUCUGAGAGGAUGAUCAGCCACACUGGAACUGAGACACGGUCCAGACUCCUACGGGAGGCAGCAGUGGGGAAUAUUGGACAAUGGGCGCAAGCCUGAUCCAGCCAUACCGCGUGGGUGAAGAAGGCCUUCGGGUUGUAAAGCCCUUUUGUUGGGAAAGAAAAGCAGCAGGUUAAUACCCCGCUGUUCUGACGGUACCCAAAGAAUAAGCACCGGCUAACUUCGUG